GACUAGAAUGAAUGGCAUAAUGGAAAAAAGCUGUAACAUUUAAGAAAAUUAUAAUUUAAUUCUAAGGUGAAAAUACCUUAUCUUAAAAGAAAGACGAUAAGACCCUAGGAGUUUAUUUUUAGCUGGGGCGGCAAUGGUAAUACAACUACCAAUUUUAAUUUACUACCGGUUUUUACAAUUAAUAUAAAACUACCCUAGGGAUAACAGCACAAUGAAUUUAUUUGUUUGUGACCUCGAUGUUGGACUAGUAAUUCUAAGGUUCAGAAAACCUUAGAAGUUUCUUCUGUUCGAAGAAUAAUUUACUACAUGAUCUGAGU
rnacentral:rRNA from 1 species